rnacentral:rRNA from 1 species
UACGAAGGGGGCUAGCGUUGCUCGGAAUCACUGGGCGUAAAGCGCACGUAGGCGGCUUUUUAAGUCAGGGGUGAAAUCCUGGAGCUCAACUCCAGAACUGCCUUUGAUACUGAGAAGCUUGAGUCCGGGAGAGGUGAGUGGAACUGCGAGUGUAGAGGUGAAAUUCGUAGAUAUUCGCAAGAACACCAGUGGCGAAGGCGGCUCACUGGCCCGAUACUGACGCUGAGGUGCGAAAGCGUGGGGAGCA